UACGAGGGGGGCAAGCGUUGUUCGGAAUUACUGGGCAUAAAGGGUGCGUAGGUGGUUUGUUAAGUCACGGGUGAAAGUUUUCGGCCCAACCGGAAAAUUGCCCGUGAUACUGGCGAACUUGAGUGCGUGAGGGGUAACCGGAACGAGCAGUGUAGCGGUGAAAUGCGUAGAUAUUGCUCGGAAGGCCAGAGGCGAAGGCGGGUUACUGGUGCGCAACUGACACUGAGGCACGAAAGCGUGGGGAGCAAACAGG
rnacentral:rRNA from 1 species